UACAGGGGGGGCAAGCGUUGUUCGGAAUUACUGGGCGUAAAGGGUCUGUAGGUGGCCAACUAAGUCAGACGUGAAAUCCCUCAGCUUAACUGGGGAACUGCGUCUGAUACUGGAUGGCUUGAGUGUGGGAGAGGAAUGCGGAAUUCCAGGUGUAGCGGUGAAAUGCGCAGAUAUCAGGAGGAACACCAAUGGUGAAGGCAGCUCGCUGGGACGGUACUGACGCUGAGACGCGAAAGCGUGGGGAGCAAACAGG
rnacentral:rRNA from 1 species